rnacentral:lncRNA from 1 species
GCUGGUAAUGUUAACAAUGUCCAGGUGGGGAAAUGUCACUACUCUUUGUUGAACACCCACUAUGUGCCUACCGCUCCUCCCCUAAAGUGGCUCAGCUGUCAGGUCUGAGCUCCACAUUGCCUGGGAUUGAGGCACAGACAGAUCUGAUUCCCGCUGCUAUAUCCUUCCCCUGAGCCCAGGCUGUGGGUUCUGCUCAUAGAGAAUGCCGAGCUGUACCCUAAGAGCCAGCAAGACCAAGGGUCUUUGGCACCACAAGCAGCCAGCAGCUGGGGAUAGUAACGCAGAACACAGUGAGCAGCAAGGAUGGCAGAGAACAACGGAGAAUCGCCGGAAGCCACCAUCUGGGGGAAGGAUGAUUGAGACCAGAGACAAGAACAGAAGAAAGUCCGUGUGGCACAGCCUGGACCAGGACCCAGACUUCAGGAUCCCAUCUGUACCUCCUGCCAGGGGAUCUCUAGUUCCCUGAACGUCUGUGCCAGUGGGAUGAGGGAUCUGUGCCAACAGGCUGAGGGAUCUGCACUGGAGCCAGGAAGCGAUGCUCAAGAUCCUAGGUCUUCAGCUGGACUUAUGCAGGACACUGUCAUCAGAGCCAGGCCUUCAGCUGGAUUUUUGGGGUCUCCAGUGUGUGAGCAGAUCUCCCAUACUCUUUUUCAUUUGACUCUUUGGGUGACUAUUAUACAAUAACCCAAUAAAUUGUGUGUCCUGUAUGAAAUCGUUUCCCUUGCAAACCCUGACUACAACAGCAGG